AGCGAACGCUGGCGGCAGGCCUAACACAUGCAAGUCGAACGGAUCCUUCGGGAUUAGUGGCGGACGGGUGAGUAACACGUGGGAACGUGCCCUUUGGUUCGGAACAACUCAGGGAAACUUGAGCUAAUACCGGAUGUGCCCUUCGGGGGAAAGAUUUAUCGCCAUUGGAGCGGCCCGCGUCUGAUUAGCUAGUUGGUGAGGUAAAGGCUCACCAAGGCGACGAUCAGUAGCUGGUCUGAGAGGAUGAUCAGCCACAUUGGGACUGAGACACGGCCCAAACUCCUACGGGAGGCAGCAGUGGGGAAUCUUGCGCAAUGGGCGAAAGCCUGACGCAGCUAUGCCGCGUGAAUGAUGAAGGUCUUAGGAUUGUAAAAUUCUUUCACCGGGGACGAUAAUGACGGUACCCGGAGAAGAAGCCCCGGCUAACUACGUGCCAGCCGCCGCGGUAA
rnacentral:rRNA from 1 species